GGUCUCAGGCAGCUUUGCUGGGAGUGUCCACAUCACCCUGACCCCCGUGAGGCCUGACAGGACCCCACGCCCAGCCAGCCCAGGACCCAGCCUCCCAGCCAGGGGCAGCUGGUGACCGUGUGGUCAUGGUGGGGACCAGCCCUCCGGGGCACCCAGUCGGGGCAGGUUCUCACGUGGGAGGGCACAGGGCUUCCUGCAGGCUCGGAGGCCCAGGGCGGAUUGUGGCCAGUGGAAGGGAAGGAUGUUUCUGGCAGGGGGACUUGUGUGGGCCACGGCUGUGCGGCUGCGGCGUUGAGCACGGCCUCACUGUCCACCUGUCCCCUAGGCCUCCAGAGGAAGAAGUCCAAGUUCCGCUUGUCCAAGAUCUGGUCACCAAAAAGCAAAAGCAGCCCCUCCCAGUAGUAGCCAGUAGGGCCGUGGGCUCGGCCCGGACCUGGCAUCCGGACUUGGACUCGGGGCCAUGGGCUUGGCCCGGACCCGGAACCCGGACUUGUACUCGGGGCCGUGGGCUCGGCCCGGACCCGGCAUUCGGACUUGGACUCGGGAAGGGCCUCCUGUCCCUACAAGGGGCAUGUGGACAGCAGGGACCUGCGCUACCGUCUGUGGUCUCAAUAAAGAAACCGACCACAUGGCCCCGGA
rnacentral:lncRNA from 1 species